rnacentral:rRNA from 1 species
UACGAAGGGUGCAAGCGUUGUUCGGAAUUAUUGGGCGUAAAGGGUUCGUAGGCGGGAAGACAAGUUGAGUGUGAAAUCCUUAGGCUUAACCUAAGACGUGCACUCAAAACUCUCUUUCUUGAGUGUUGGAGAGGGUAGUGGAAUUGCUGGUGUAGGAGUGAAAUCCGUAGAGAUCAGCAGGAACAUCGGAGGCGAAGGCGACUGCCUGGCCAAACACUGACGCUGAGGAACGAAAGCAUGGGGGAAGCAAAACAGGGAUUAGAAA